ensembl:snoRNA
AUCCUCUUGUGGUUCCUAAGUGUGAAGAUUGGGUUUUCAUACUCAUGUGUGAAAUGUGCCUUCCUCAAGCCUUGUUAUGAUGUGUCAGGCACAUUACUCUUCCCCAUCUGAUG